UGCCAUGACCAUGAUCUUCUAAACUCAGUCUCAUGAAUAACAUAGGACUACUCCUUAUCUAUCAAAAUCGAUAGAUCCCAUCUAGGUGCACACCCUACUCCUACAAUGAACCUACUACAGCUAACGUUCAUUACAAGGACCCAUAUACCUAGGAUCCAUGUUUAUGUGUAGUCAAAUUAUAGAAAUCCUAUUGUGAGCAGCCA
rnacentral:lncRNA from 1 species